AUCGCCUGGUUUUUCAAAAACAUCGCCUCCUGCAAACAACGACGUAUAGGAGGUCUUGCCUGCCCAGUGACAAUGUUAAACGGCCGCGGUAUUUUGACCGUGCGAAGGUAGCGCAAUCACUUGUCUUUUAAAUGAAGACCUGUAUGAAUGGUGAAACGAGGGCUUAACUGUCUCCCUUUUCUAGUCAAUGAAAUUGAUCUGCCCGUGCAGAAGCGGACAUAAAAAUACAAGACGAGAAGACCCUUUGGAGCUUAAGAUAUAAAGAUCAUCUAUGUCAAUGGGCCCCAACACAGCAACAAACUAAAUAGCAACUGAUCUUAAUCUUCGGUUGGGGCGACCACGGGAGAAAAUAAAGCUCCCACGCGGACUGGGGUAAACCCUAAAACCAAGAAAAACAUUUCUAAGAAACAGAACUUCUGACCAUUAAGAUCCGGCUACACGCCGACCAACGGACCAAGUUACCCUAGGGAUAACAGCGCAAUCCCCUUUCAGAGUCCAUAUCGACAAGGGGGUUUACGACCUCGAUGUUGGAUCAGGACAUCCUAAUGGUGCAGCCGCUAUUAAGGGUUCGUUUGUUCAACGAUUAAAGUCCUACGUGAUCUGAGUCAAGGACCGGA
rnacentral:rRNA from 1 species